rnacentral:lncRNA from 1 species
GUAUCGAAUGUUGAAUAUUCGAAUUCGAAUACGGACACAUUUGAACUAGGCCUCUAAACGAAUUCGGUCUCGAAUACGGUCCGAAAAUAUCCGUACUGUUUUCAUUCUUAGUUCUGACCAACGGAGAUGGGCAGCAGCAGCGCCAUUAUUGCUGUGAAAAUAUUUUGGAUUUCGCUAUUAUAGCACUUUUGAUUGUGUGU